rnacentral:rRNA from 1 species
GACGAACGCUGGCGGCGUGCCUAAUACAUGCAAGUAGGACGCAGUUGCGAACGGGUGAGUAACGCGUAGGUAACUACCUAUUAGAGGGGGAUAACUAUUGGAAACGAUAGCUAAUACCGCAUACUAGUAGAUGGACCUACGUAGUAUUAGCUAGUAAGGAGGGUAAUGGCCUAACUAGGCAACGAUGCAUAGCCGACCUGGGAGGGUGAACGUCAACACGUGGACUGAUAAACGGCCCAGACUCCGACGGGAGGCAGCAGUAGGGAAUGUGCGGCAAUGGGGGGAACCCUUACCGAGCAACGCCGCGGGAGUGAAGAAGGUUUUCGGAGCGUAAAGCUCUGUUGUUUAGGAAGCGGUACUUAACCAGAAAGGGACGGCUAACUACGUGCCAGCCGCCGCGGUAAUUC